rnacentral:rRNA from 1 species
AUACCGCGGCUGCUGGCACGGAUUUAGCCGGUGCUUCUUCUGUGGGUAGCAUCAAUUUACUCACGUAUUAGGUGAAUAACCUUUCUCCCCACUGAAAGUGCUUUACAACCCUAAGGCCUUCUUCACACACGCGGCAUGGUUGGAUCAGGGUCGCCCCCAUUGUCCAAUAUUCCCCACUGCUGCCUCCCGUAGGAGUCUGGACCGUGUCUCAGUUCCAGUGUGGCUGAUCAUCCUCUCAGACCAGCUACGGAUCGUAGCCUUGGUAGGCCUUUACCCUACCAACUAGCUAAUCCGACAUGGGCUCAUCUGAUAGCGAGAGGUCCGAAGAUCCCCCGCUU